CAGCUUUCGACAUUAACUUCCUUUAUUACAACUAAUAAAUACAUUUUAAUUCAUAGACAUACUGUAUAAUUUGUCCGGUCACAUGACUGGAACAGUUUUCGGCGCGUACACAACGUUUUUGGCGCCAUUUGUUAUGGUUUGAGAGAGGGGGUCAGGGCUACUUCAGAUCCGUUAAAAUGCCCUUAUUAACUCCGCUAAUAAAUACAUUUUAAUUCAUAGACAUACUGUAUAAUUUGUCCGGUCACAUGACUGGAACAGUUUUCGGCGCGUACACAACGUUUUUGGCGCCAUUUGGUAUGGUUUGAGAGAGGGGGUCAGGGCUACUUCAGAUCCGUUAAAAUGCCCUUAUUAACUCCGCUAUUUUG